GGCCGGUUAGCUCAGUCGGUUGAGCGUAGCACUAACAACCCCAAGGUCGCGGGUUCGAUUCCCGCUCGGUCC
rnacentral:tRNA from 1 species